rnacentral:rRNA from 1 species
UACGUAGGGGGCAAGCGUUAUCCGGAAUUACUGGGUGUAAAGGGUGAGUAGGCGGCAUGGUAAGCCAGAUGUGAAAGCCUUGGGCUUAACCCGAGGAUUGCAUUUGGAACUAUCAAGCUAGAGUACAGGAGAGGAAAGCGGAAUUCCUAGUGUAGCGGUGAAAUGCGUAGAUAUUAGGAAGAACACCAGUAGCGAAGGCGGCUUUCUGGACUGAAACUGACGCUGAGGCACGAAAGCGUGGGGAGCGAACAGG